rnacentral:lncRNA from 1 species
CCAAUUGUAGUAAACACUGCCUCAAAAAUUAAUUGACUACUUGACAUUGUUCUAAAACAACGAUUUCUAGCUAUCUCCAAACUAAUCCUCGAAAUCAAAAUUUUCGUCAUAUUCAUCUUCAAACCUGUAAGACAUCGCAUCAUUAUGAUGACCGAAUAUAACAUCAUCGUCGCCACAAGUGAUCUUCAUUAUGAAGAUUCUUCAUCAUAAUUGCCCUCUUUAGAUCUUUGCAUUUUAGGUGUGGUGAUGUUUUCGUUCAGUGAAUGGUCAUUUCUUCAAGAAUCGAGUUUCAAAUCGAUGUGUGCCAUACCAGAACCAUGUUCCUGAAAUGAUAAUUAACAAAGUUAUGGGAAACAAUAAAUGCAAAGAAUCCUUUUUCGAGUUACAUGUUUGUUUUACACUUUCCGACCCAAUGAAAAUGAAACCAAAACAAGAGUAUAAAACACUUACCAUAUCAUCAUUUAGAAGUCUCAAAGCAUCAUAAUUGAUUCAUGUCAACAUCACAUGUAAAAUACAAUACAAACAUACUCCAGCUCGCUCGUAGGGAUUGAAAUCGUCAUACAACAAGAAUUUAACAAAUGGCGAAAUACCAUAAUUUCCCUAUUACUCUUAGCCAUUUCUUGAGUUUUACAUCGUACUGUGGCAAACAGAAAGAGAAAAAAGAAUUCCCAUUGAAGCCUAAUUUAUUACCCGCUGUUCCAAUUUCUCGGUGGUUUUAACAGCUUUCCGAGCAGAGGUAGUUUUCUUUGUUUCAGUUUCUGUUUUUCGUUUCUUAACCUGAAAUUUAUCACCAAUUUGGACAGCAGUCAAAUUUAAUCCCACAUUGAAAAGUUUAAAUCUUACAGGGAGGAAAAAGUAUGAAAAAGACUGUUGAAACCGGCAAGUCGCAAUAUCAUAAGCUGUCAAUGUUCACAUCAAUAUCGAUAAAAUGUAAGGGGCCUAUAGAUAUUUCAACAUCAGCUAAGAAAUGGUUAGAAGACUACUAAAAUGCUUAAAACAGUGUUUCUCAUUACAUUUUGUAUAAAAAAUAAUUAUGAGACCUGUCAUCGGUAUACUUAAGUUGCAUGGCAUUGACCAAAAACAUAAACACAGAUAAUGCGAGAUGGAGGGAAGAAAAUAAUAUGGAGUCAUGCACAUUAGUUUCUGGGAGAAUUUUACUCACAUAGUACUGCCAGAUAGCCCCUGUCUGAAGAAAUCUGGUUUCACUUUCUCUUCAAAUAAUUUAGUUAAGACAAUGGUGUUGCGUUUACUGCCUAUUGAACAUAAUUUCAUAAGUUGGAAUUUGCUAAAAAUUAAUUCUUUUAAAAAAUUAGUUUUGGAGACAACACAAAAUUCUUCAAGAUACCUAAGCUUUGGAGGUGAAACUAGACAUUUCAAAAACAAAUUCUCCAAUCAAAUCAAUCUGAUCAAAUUUCUUCUUUAAAUGUUAUAAAUAAAUACGUCCAUAUGCCAAACUCAACCAAGAAAUGGGAUGCAUUAAUUUCUACGGUUUAAAAGAAAUAUUGAUCCCAUAUUGUGACUUAAAGAAGAGAAUAUCAUAAUAUCAUCUUAUAGAGACUAUUUUGCACAAUCGGAACUAAUAUUAUAUUUAUUCACAUAUUACAUUCUUCCAUAAUAAUUCAAGGACAUAAAAGAUCAAUUAUCAUGACGGCAGGACAAAUACGUAUGAUUUAAUAAUUCUAUCGGCUAGCACCUAUGUGAGAGCUAGAAGCCUAGAAUCUAUAGAUUGUAUGUUAAAGUCACAAAAAUACAUAAAGAGAGAGUGAGCAUCCGAAUUAACAUAACACUUCAUCCUAGCCUACUUGUAGAAUAGAAAGAAAAUAAAAUAAUAAACAGACAAAAAGGGGAAGGAAACAGGAAAAAUAUGCCCAUACAGAGGAACAAGGUAAAAGAACACAAACCACACCUUAAUUGAGCUAAAAUUAGAUGAAAUGUAAGAAAACAUUGAGGUGAUGCAAGGCUGGUAGGAUAGUCCAAUAACAUCAAUCAAACCAAUUGUAGACUAGAAAUUCGGCCAAAUUACCCCAAAUGCAAGCAAAUCUUGAAGAGUAUUAGUAAACAAGGCUUUACCCUUACAUGUUCUUUAAUCAUGGCUUCCCAUAACAUCCUUUUCAAAUGCAUCAACUUUUUGUUGUUAAGAUAUCCAACAAUCUGAAGAGCAUAAAAAAUUGCUUAAAUGCUUCCCCAACUCAGGUGUCUAGUGAUAAAUGCUUGAUUCCCUAUCAUACUCUGAAAUAUGCAUCCUUUUCUUUUUCACGAUAUGAAAUUCUAAAUGACUUAUCAGCUGGUGAAAAUGUUAGAUAUUAUCAACGAACGAAAAAAUUUCAUUAACAGAUUUCAGCAAAGUACAGGACUAAAGAAGAAGCAUUAGAAACUUACAGGGUGCAUAGAAGUUUUGAUUAUUCAAACAAAAGAAAAGGUAUUCUAAUGGAAAGCAUGAAAGUAAUUUACCAUCAUAAAAAACACUUGUGAGAACCAUUGCCAGAGUUUAAACGAUAAUGCAUGUGAAACAACAAAGGAUAUGCCUCAGAAUCAUCAACAUCGGAAAGACUUUCUGAGCCAUUAGAUUUAGUUCUACUUCUUUUCUUGUACCUUUGUUUUUACCAGAUUUAGUUCUUUUCUUAUUAACUAAAACUUCUGCAGCUAUCCAUUGUCUUAGCCAAAAAGAUUCUGCAUAAGAAAUUUCAUGAGAACUACAUUAAAGAUUACAGCCAGUGCUCUCAGUUGCAACAUUGCAGGUCAGGUAGCAACUCCACUCUGCAGGAAGUCUCAACUUCCACCAUCUACAAAACAGAUAAUAUAAAUAUGAAAUGUGAGAUUUACAAUAACUAUGAUCUAUUUUAUAUGGCUUCUAGUUGAAUGAAACCUUACAAGGACUUUAUCAGCAUCAUCUUACACUUCGAUAAAAGAAUAAAGUUCCCAUAAACCAACACCCUGCUGGUGAAGGAAUCAGCUCUUGAUAUCAUAUUUGAAAAAAAAAAAAAAAAAAAUAUCCAAAAACCCUCUUUUAUUGAAUAAAAUAAUAAUAAAAAACAGGAGAAAAAUUGAAAACGCCAAUGAGACUGAUCUUCAAGCAAAUAAAUAACUCGGGAAUUUUUGCUAAUCAAUUUGGACAAAAAGGGUAAAUGACUGCCUAUACACUGAAAUAGUAAUAUCACUGCGUAGAAUAAUCAACGCGUAUACAUUCAUCCAAUCUUAGCAAUAUUUAACAAUUUCAUGAGCUGAAAAUUCAUGAAAAUAUACGAGUUGCAAGGGAGUAAAAGGAAAGAAAGAAAUUACGCGUACAGGUAGCUUCAAAGGGUUUUUGGAACUUUGAGUAAUCUCCAUCGAUAGAGAAAUACCGCUGAAGUUUCAAAGUGGAUAUGCGCAGAGUAGUUUAAGUGGAACCCUUGACCUCAGAAUAUUACCGUUAGCAAUUCAAAAAUUAGCACCGACUCAUUCUUACAUAAAAAAAAAUUUUACCGUUAAAAAACCAAUAUUUGCACCUCUCUUUCCCUCCAAAAACACUCUCUACUGAACUCUUUCCGCAUCGAUCAAAAUUUUCUCUCCCUUUUUCAGCCAUGACGAAGUCUAACAACAAUCUGGAGAAGAAAACAAUGGGUCGGCGGAAGAUUGAAAUUCGGAAAAUUGACAAUAAAAACAGUCUUCAGGUUACCUUCUCAAAGAGGCGAAGCGGUCUUUUCAAAAAGGCAGCGGAAACGAGCCUAUUGUGUGGCGCAAAUAUUGCAAUCCUCAUCCAAUCUCCGGGGAACAAAUUUUUCACUUUUGGCGAACCCUCGGUGGAAUCCAUUCUAAACCGG